UGUUGCAGAAACAAUCACUUUUAAAGGCCAAUACACUGCUUCCCGACACUCCACGUGAAUUUAUAGAAGGAAUCAUUGACAAUCUUUAUUUCCCAGGCUUUCUCAUUGCAUGAAUCACUUCUGGUUGCCUAUAUUGUGACAACACACUUACGAGUUCUUGGUCACCAAAUUCACAUGGCAGGAGGGAGGGCAGGUUGCACCAACGAUGUCUCUGGUCGGCAGAAGGGAUAGGCUCACCUUCAAAACACUUGUGACCGAUGCCAAUACAUAGAGAGGGCAAGAAAGAAAUGAAAAGGAGAUGACUUAGGAGUGGGUGGGCAGAGCUGGACAGGAAUUAGAAGAGGACAAAUGUGGGCCCAAGGGGCAUCCCCAGCCCAUUAGACCUUUCUUAGCUGGGCUCCUCUGCUGUUUUGGUGGUGAACUUCCUGCUAGAGAUCAACUGUCCCAACCUCCUCAUUUCCCAGAGGAGGACACUGACAUCCAGAGACAGAAACAGGUUUGUCCCAGCCACUCAGGCAGUCGGCAGUAGGGCUGGGACGAGCCCACAAGUUACAGAUGACCCUCGUAAUUACUCUAGGCCUCAGUGUUUCCAUUGGGAAAAUGAGGAACUGGGUCAGAGCAAUGGUGUUUUGGUUUUCACAAAAAACUUAAAAAAGUUUUUUUUUGUUUAUUUUUGGCUGCACUACAUGGUAUGUGGGAUCUUAGUUCCCCAACCAGGGAUCGAACUCACACCCCCUGCAGUGGAAGCACAGUCUUAACCACUGGACCACCAGGGGAUUCCCAAGAGCAAUAAUUCUUAACUUUGGCUGCACAGUGGAAUCACCCAGCAAGACUUGAAUGGAAUACUGUUGCCUUGAACUCUGUCCUCAGAAAUGUUGAUAAAACCAGAUUAUAACAUGGAUUGUAACAUGGGCACUGGCACUGAUCAGCUUCCCAGGGAAUUCCUGGAUGAUCUGUGAGGUUGGUUUCAAUUCUGACAUCCAUUCGUGCCACGCACAUGGGCACCUGCUGGGUGCCAGGCCCUCAGCUAUAGCCGGGCAAGAGCAGAAGUGGACACUGUGAUCCUGGGGCUGGUUUCCUGUUUCUGUGUGGACAGGGUGGCUGAGACAGGCUGCUCAUAUUAGCAGCCUAUUCACAGACAACUCUACUUUCUCCAGGCAGCCUUAUGAUUAAUAGAGGUGAUAUUCUUAUCUCCUGUCUGACUCAUAAGUGUGUCUCUUUCGAUUGAUUCUGAUUUUAGGCAGAAGAAAAGAGAUGCUAUUUAUUAGCCUCUUCAAAACUCUAAACCAUUCUGCUGGAGAUGACGAGCAGUAUACAAAUAACCUUAAGGCCCCCUUCUCAGCCUCCUUUGCAGACUUGUCUUUCUUUAAAUGUUGGAGUACCUCUAGGCUUGGCUCUACCCUACUCUCUCUCUGGUUGACUCCAUCUAUUCCAAAGGUCCUAAGUAACAACCCCAUGCUGCUGCUGCUGCUGCUGCUGCUAAGUCGCUUCAGACGUGUCCGACUCUGUGUGACCCCAUAGACGGCAGCCCACCAGGCUCCCCCGUCCCUGGGAUUCUCCAGGCAAGAACACUGGAGUUGGUUGCCAUUUCCUUCUCCAAUGCAGGAAAGUGAAAAGUGAAAGUGAAGUCGCUCAGUCGUGUCCGACUCUCAGCCACCCCAUGGACUGCAGCCUACCAGGCUCCUCCAUCCAUGGGAUUUGCCAGGCAAGAGUAUUGGAGUGGGGUGCCAUUGCCUUCUCCGAACAACCCCAUGCUAGUGACUCUCAAAUUUACAUUACCAAUCCUAAGCAUUCCCCUGAGCUCCAAACUGAAAUAUUCUACUUUCUCCUUGACAGCCCCAUAUAGUAUGUUUUACAAGUACAUCAACAUCUAUGUGAUCAAAAUAAGUCUUGACUCCCACCUCCCCCAGCAUAUCUGACCUCAGUGUAAAGUAGCACCACCUACACAGUUGCUCAACCAGACACUUGAUCCCUCCCCACCCCCUCAGCACCCGCAUCUAAUCCAUCACCCAACGUGGGCCACUCUGCCUCCAAAACACACCCUGAAUCCCUCCACUUCUUUCCAGCCCC
ensembl:lncRNA